rnacentral:rRNA from 1 species
UAACUUGAGAGUUUGAUCCUGGCUCAGAACGAACGCUGGCGGCACGCUUAACACAUGCAAGUCGAACGGAAUUAUGGAGCUUGCUUCAUAAUUUAGUGGCGCACGGGUGAGUA